UGGCAGUGUACUUCUUAGUUAG
rnacentral:miRNA from 1 species